ACGCGAAAGGGCCCCACGGGGAGCGAGUAGAGAGGCGCCCCGGCGGAGAACACGUAGGUAAUCUACCUUUGGAUAGGGAACAACACCGGAAACGGUUGCUAAUACCGAAUAAUGCAGCGGCACCUAAUGGUGACAGUUGUUAAAGCGGGGGAUCGCAAGACCUCGCGUCUAAAGAGGAGCCUGCGGCGGAGUAGCUAGUUGGUAAGGUAAUGGCUUACCAAGGCUAUGAUCCGUAGCCGGCCUGAGAGGGCGGUCGCCCACACUGACACUGACAUACGGGUCAGACUCCUACGGGAGGCAGCAGUCGGGAAUUUUGGGCAAUGGGCGAAAGCCUGACCCAGCAACGCCGCGUGAAGGAUGAAAUCCUUCGGGAUGUAAACUUCGCAAGAACGGGAAGAAUAAGUAAGAGCUAACAUCUCUUAUGAUGACGGUACUGUUUGUAAGCUCCGGCUAACUCCGUGCCAGCAGCCGCGGUAAUACGGGGGGAGCAAGCGUUGUUCGGAUUUACUGGGCGUAAAGGGCGCGUAGGCGGCCACCGCAAGUCGAUUGUGAAAUCUCCGGGCUUAACCCGGAAAGGUCAACCGAUACUGCGGGGCUAGAGUGCAGAAGGGGCAACUGGAAUUCUCGGUGUAGCGGUGAAAUGCGUAGAUAUCGAGAGGAACACCUGCGGCGAAGGCGGGUUGCUGGGCUGACACUGACGCUGAAGUGCGAAAGCUAGGGGAGCGAACGGGAUUAGAUACCCCGGUAGUCCUAGCCUUAAACGAUGAAUGCUUGGUGUC
rnacentral:rRNA from 1 species